rnacentral:rRNA from 1 species
AUGGCCGCGGCGCGGCGGUGGCGGCGAAAAUGUAGGACGCGGGACGCAGUGCUGGCGCUGCUCAUCGCCUCGGUGCUCGCGCCUCUCGCGCUCUACAGCGGCGCACCCAUCUCCCCCUUCUCCGGCCCCGCCCUGACCGGGAGCGCCUUCGACCGUGAUCCCUCCAAUUUGAUUUCUCGGAAUGAGGCGGGGAAGCGCCUGAACGCUCUGCCGCAGGACACAUUUGAUCCUGUACCGAAGGCUGCAUCGGAUACAGGAGCGAACAAUGUAGGCGAUCAGGGCACUCAACUGGGACAGAACGGUGGAAUUCAGCAAGUUGUCAUGGGAAGCAAUAUAGAGAUGCCAGGUGAAUCCAGGGGUAGUAAGGACGGCGGUGUGCGCAGUGUAGAAGAGGCGAAGGUGUCGUCACAUGAUACGAGUAUUACUCCGGAGGAGGGUGCUCAGCUCACUAAACAGAGUGGCCUGACCAAUUUUGGUGCAGCAGGGGAUAACAAAGUUCGUGCAAUGCACAAUGCUGGAGAUCUAAAUGCCCAUUUGGACAAGAAUGAUGAAAAAUCAUCUCAGCAAAUUACAGACUCUACGUCAAAAGAGUCUGGUGCAAUGAUAACUAGUAGUAAUACUAGUUAUUCCCCAACUUCUUCAGAUAAGACAGUACUUGUUCUUAAGGACCAGUUGAGAAGAGCGAGAAGAUACAUUGGAUUUUUACCUUCUAGAGGCAAUCAUGGGUUUGUAAAGGAUCUCCGAAGAAGGAUGAGGGAUAUCCAGCAAGCACUGAGUGGUACAACCAUCGAUAGGCAGUUACCAAAGAAUGUCCAUAAAAAAAUUAGAGCGAUGGAAUCGAUAUUAACAAAGAUCAAACAAGUCCAUGAUAACUGUGCAGCUGCUAUUGAUAAGCUACAAACAAACCUUCACUGGACAGAGAACCAGCUCGAGGCUAACAAGCAAGAGGCUACCUACACAGCACAGGUAGCAGCUAAAGCUCUGCCAAAGAGGCUUCAUUGUCUUGCACUGCGGCUUACAAAUGAGUACUAUACAUCCAGUUCCAAAAAUAGGCAUUUUCCAUAUCAAGACAAGUUGGAAGAUCCGCAACUACAUAACUAUGCAUUAUUCUCUGACAAUGUACUUGCCGCCGCUGUGGUUGUGAACUCAACUCUUAUACAUGCUAAGAAACCAGCAGACCAUGUCUUCCAUAUUGUGACUGAUAAGCUUAACUAUGCUGCAAUGAGGAUGUGGUUUUUGGUGAAUCCCCCGGUUAAAGCUGCUAUUCAGGUUCAGAAAAUUGAAGACUUUACAUGGCUAAAUUCGAGCUACAGUCCAGUUUUGAAGCAACUGGCGUCCCAGUUCAUGAUCAACUACUACUUCCAUACUCCACAGAAUAAACCUGAUAAAAAUCCCAAGUUCCGGAACCCCAAGUACCUGUCAAUUCUCAAUCACCUGAGGUUUUAUCUUCCUGAGAUCUUCCCAAAACUUAACAAGGUGUUAUUUGUCGAUGAUGACAUUGUAGUCCAGCAGGACUUAAGUCCACUUUGGUCGGUAGAUCUCAAAGGCAGGGUUAAUGGUGCUGUCAAAACCUGUGGUGAGGUUUUCCAUAGGUUUGAUAGGUACCUCAACUUCUCAAACCCUCUUAUCGCCAAGAAGUUUAACCGACGUGCAUGUGGGUGGGCAUAUGGCAUGAACAUGUUUGAUUUGUCUGAGUGGAGAAGGCAGAAUAUUACUGCUGUGUAUCACUACUGGCAAGAACAGAAUGAACAUAGACUGUUAUGGAAGUUAGGAACACUCCCUGCUGGCCUGGUGACAUUCUGGAACAACACCUACCCUCUCGAUCGCUCAUGGCAUCUCUUGGGCUUUGGAUACAAGCGGAAUGUCAACCCAAUGGAUAUCGAGCGGGCUGCAGUCAUACACUACAACGGAAAUCUGAAACCUUGGCUUGAGGUUGGGUUGCCAAAAUACCGCAGUUACUGGUCCAAGUAUGUCAAUUUCGAUCACGCGUUCAUAAGGGAGUGCAACAUACAUCCAUGA